rnacentral:rRNA from 1 species
CGUAGGUGGCAAGCGUUGUCCGGAAUUAUUGGGCGUAAAGCGCGCGCAGGCGGUCUUUUAAGUCUGAUGUGAAAGCCCCCGGCUCAACCGGGGAGGGUCAUUGGAAACUGGAGGACUUGAGUGCAGAAGAGAAGAGCGGAAUUCCACGUGUAGCGGUGAAAUGCGUAGAGAUGUGGAGGAACACCAGUGGCGAAGGCGGCUCUUUGGUCUGUAACUGACGCUGAGGCGCGAAAGCGUGGGGAGCAAACAGGAUUAGAUACCCUGGUACGUCCACGCCGUAAACGAUGAGUGCUAAGUGUUAGAGGGUUUCCGCCCUUUAGUGCUGCAGCAAACGCAUUAAGCACUCCGCCUGGGGAGUACGGCCGCAAGGCUG